UCUUUUUUUUUUUAAUCUUUAAUGUUUAGAACAAUUUUAAGAAAUUAUCAUAGCCGAUGUUUUUAUAUUUUUAUCGUCAAGCUUAUAUUAUCAGGACUCGGAGUGAGUUUGUUGAAAAAAAGUUCAUGAUCAUAAUACUGCCCACUUUGGAAGGCAAAUCGUGAAACUUCGCGAACUUUCGCAGUUUAGAAAUGCAUAUAUGCAUGUAGUGUAAGUAUUUUGGGCCACAGGAAUCAUCUCUUAGGUUUAAAACAUUAAUAAUCUGGAGGCCGUAAAGAGCUGAGCAUUUUGUGCCAUAUAUACGAUGCUCUUAUUUUGAUAAAUCCACGACUCUAUUUGCGAAACUAGUCGUGUAUAAUGGAAAUAUUUUUAUAUGACAGUUCCUAUACUAUAUAUUUAAUCUUAUACUAUACGAAUUUUCGCAUGCGGAAAUAUAUCCUCAUUGACAUAACAUAGCGAGAAAAUCUUAGAAUUUAGAAUUCGCUUUUUGCGAUAUGUAUAGCAUGUUAUGUGAUAAAUGGAUAAACGCGCAGAUUAUAAAUUAAUGCUUUCGUCCAGACAAGAAAUUAAAAGAUUCAUGAAAAUAGUGCUCUCACAUGAAUAAAAGCUAACGUCCAUUUUACGUCCUGUCAAAUAGAACAUCUUUAGAACAUCGUAUGAAAACGAUUUUUGUAUGAUAAUCAGUUCUGUAAACAUUGCCGCAUAUUAAAAAUAGAACGGCCUAUGUUGUUGUACAGAAUUAGAACGAAAACAAAAAAAAACUUAUAAAGUUCCGUAAUUUCAGUAAGCUGCCAUUAAAGAAAGAAACUUAUUUUUCGAUGAAAACGGCUUGAUAGUACAGAGAAUUUAUGUUAUCAAUAUCUAUGUAAUAAUAUUGAUAAUAAUAUAUUAGUGACACUAUAUAGAAUUGACUUGUAAUAACGAUAUAGAAAAAUCUAAUCUUGGUGAUCUUGUAAUUUAAAUAUAUAAGAGAGUUUGAUUAGGUAUCUUUGUGGAAUAUUAAAUAUACCACAAAUGACAUACUAAAUCUUACAGUUAGGUUAAAAGUAGAAUGAUCAUAACUCUUGCACGAGAAUAUUCCAAUUCUUGCAUUAGGUAGUAGCAUUUCGCAAAUUAAACUAGUAAGAAAUAAGGGUGUCUUUUGGCAUGGUACUAUAAAAAUACUAUUAUAGUAUUUUUUAUUAAAAUGGCCUAAUCGCGUGAAGGGAUUCUUUCGAAGAGAGAAUAGAAACUGUGUAAGAUACUGUGAAAAGAUCAGUAUUUAAAUUAAUGCGAUUGAUUAGGUUGUUGCGAAUAUUUUAAUAAAAAUGAAAAUAUAUAUAUAUCCUUGUACACAGAGAUUGCAUUUAGUUUUUGAAAAGUAAUAUAAAAAUUACCACUACCUAAGUAAAUACUUUUCAUUGGUUACUUAUAAACUAGUCGAAUUAAAAAACAAAUUUUUUUAUUGUUACCAUAAAAUAAUUGCAAUAUAUAAUAUAAAAUUUUUUAUUUAUUAAGGUAUAACAAUACAUUAAAUUCACAUGCGUUUCGAAAGGAUGUAAAAUUACGAUAGCAAACUGUCUUGUUUAUUUAUAUAGAUAUAUUUUGUUCAUUCUAUUUUUGAUAAAAUUUAUUCAGCAGCUUAGAUGGUAUUUAAACAGUUAGUUUUGUUACUUAAUUUUUUAUUUUAUUUAUAUGUUGACAUGACAUGCAACUGUAAGAUUUGCCUAACUAGAUUAUUAUAAUAAACAAUUUAUGCGGAGAAACUUUUUCUCACUUAUCGAGAUAUAUACCUCAUUUACUCUCAUAAUUUGCCUGAAUGCAAUUAUUGUUGUCUGAAAAAAAAGGAGAGUAUAACAAAAAUUAAAUUAAGGAAACUUGUAGAGUAGUGACAUGUUCGGGCAUUUCAUAUCGAAGAUUUGAAUUUGAUUUGUUAGAUAAGAUAUUUUCAUAGUCUCGCUAAUGGUAAUUGUGUUAAUAGUUUUAGUACUGUUUAGAAGUAAAAAUAUGUGAUUGCGUAGUCUUCUACUUAAAUGAGUUUCUGACAGAUUCCACAUGGUACUUGCAAUGUUAUUUUUAAGAAUCAAUCUAUAUUUUGCUAAUACGCGACGCGAAAUAAGUUUGCAGUUUCGUUGUUUGUAUAGCUUGUACUAUGGAUGAAGAAUAAUUAUAUAUAUAUGUAUGUAAGAAUAACAAUGUGUAAAACGCAUACCUAUAUAUGUACCAUGACAUUUAUCUUGCAUACUUAUUUUUUAAUUGGAAACAUCCACUGCGUCCGUCUUUGUUAUUGUUACUAUCAUUUAGAUUUUUAUUCUAAACAAUUGAUCGAGGAUGAAUUUUCCGUCAGUUUCAGCCUCAUUUAUAUAACGGUAUUGUACGAAUACCUGGCUUGUGCAAAAUGCGUUGCCAGUAAAUUGUUCACGAUUUUGUACAUGGAUAUACUUCGCGCGCGUUGCCUUUAUACAUAUUCUGUACAAAAAGAUACAUUACUUCUUAUUCUCAACGUAGAGACGUACAACUUGUAAAUAAUGUCGAUAAAACCGAAUAUGUGAAAUGACAUUCUGGCAAACAUUCGCAUAUUACACUUUGCGUUCCAUGGCGAAUUGUAUAUUCAGACAAAGAUAGAAAUCUUCUCUGCGUGACACACAGAAAGCUUAAGGAAUCAGUGGAGUUUUAUUUUAACAGAAUAUUUGGCUGAAUUAUUCUAUUUAUAAGAAAAAAGGUGAUUCAAUACAUUCCGUAGUACAUAAAAUAUUAAAUGGUUUACUAGUAAUUUUUUCAAUCAAAUUGUAAUUAGAAGAAAAAAUUGAAAAGAGAAAUAUGAAGAUUAACUCUUCGUUUCAUCAAUGUUGGCUAUUUACGCACAGCCUAUAUAUAAACUGAAAUGUAUAAAAUAUUCAUACACUCUUUGUAUAAAGAUAGACGAAGUCGCUGCUUUCUAUUCGUUCAUUUAGAUUACAUGUUAAAUAAUAAUUUAUAUUACACACGCACACGUAAAUACCCAACAUUGGCCGCGUUCUAAUGGACUGCAUACAAAUUUGCACAGUGAGAAUAUUAGUAUUGUUGUUAACUAUGUUUCUUGAUCACUGUAUAAAUAUUGCUCUCAUCAAACACCUAACCGCGCCUAUUUAACGAGAUUAAACAACACAUUCGCACUUUGGAAAUUUGUAAAACUCUGCAUUCGAAAGCUGUUUCUCCGCGCGAAAAGAUAGGAAAAGAGCGGGGGAGAGUUUUCAACGUUUAGCAUCAGUACAUCAUUUGUAAAGGCAGGCUUUUGAUUUUGGUGUAUCGCCAUGGUAAUCUCUCUCUACGAGUUAAUAAUUCAGGUACUCUCAGAUAUCUGAGAUAGGCAUACGUGUAACAUCGUUACACCGUCACUAGCAUUCGAGUUGUGAAAAACAUUGUAAGAUUUUGGGUAAAAUGAAUAAAGAAUUCGUCUGGGUCUA